GGGAAUACUAUUGGCGGCCUGCACUGAUUUAGAUCAAAGGCUCUGUGGUAGUUUCAUGGACACUCUUUGCAAGUGAGUUCUCCUCAUCGUGAGUUACAGAGAGGUGAAGACUGGAGUAGGGGAAGAAGGUUUAAGUUGUCCAGCCAGUAAGUGGUAGGGCUUAAUCUAAACACCAAGGUUUUCAGCAGAAAAUUGUUUUUUUAUCCCCAAAAUGCCAUGGCUGCCAACAAGCUUUUUAGCAAAUCUGAGAAGCAGAGCACUAGAUGGAGAAUCAGAAGAGCUCCCUUGUCUCUUCCGGUCUGGUAAGUAAGUACUAGUUGUGUGACCAUGGUCAAGUCACUAACUUUUCUGAAUCUUAUAAAAUCAGGGACAAGGAAUCAAUGAGUGACAAAAUUACCUUCCAGCCAUAAAACAUCUCACCCAUAAAACGGUAUUGAUUAAUAAUGUGUGCUUGGCCUAUCUCCCAAAAUCGUGAGGCUAAAAUAAGCUGAUGCAUGUGGAAGUGCCUUGCAUUUUGUGAAGUAUCAAAUCAAUGUUGUCUCAAAGCACGGCUAUGGAGGAAUGAGGAAAGGGCCCCAGUGUGUGUCCACACACACAGCCAGCCAGUCCUCUUCCAUUCAGGUUUUGGGAGAAGCUGUAAUAAAGCACUGGCACCAGCUCAAAUCCUGCUCCAUCCUCACCCCUUCCUGCAUGCUGCAGAGUGUCACUGGAGCAAAGUUAUUUGAGUGGGUGAGCCAAACACUCCAAUUUCAACUCUGCUGAGUAGAAGCCACAGAGAAUUCUGCGUCACAGUGCAGGUGACAAUCACUGUUCCUCCAGGUGUGUCUGAAACACUGAGGAGACCCUGGGGAGGGCUGAACAGGAAGGUGGGGAGGAAGGUCAGACAUCACUGCUCCCGAGGCCCAGUUUUCCCUGGCACACAUCUCUAGCCCACAUGAUUUCACCUGGCAGCCCCAGGAGACAGACAGACCCAGAAAGAGCAGGAGCCUCCUCUCCUGAUAACCUAAGUGCUCUGAUUGAAAGGCAGAGGGUAUCAGCAGAAGGGCUGUACCAAGUCAGCAUUGAUUUCUCCAGCCUUUGUCUGCGUCUGGUUUCUGUCUCGUUUGGAGGUGGUUACUGUUACUACAAGCAGCAUGAAUCAUGUCUCUGUUAAAAAACAGAGCUUCAAUUGUCUUACAUAACCCCUAGUAACUGAACGUCUAAUAAUAGCAAGCCAUUUACAGGUAGGGAGUCUGUCUUCCUCCCAGACACACACACACACACACACACACACACACACACACACACACACUCUACUCCCAAUGCCUCACUGUAAAGUGAAACGGGCAGGGAGGAGGCAGAGGGAGAAAGCGGACAGCACAAUUGAUUUUGAGGAGGGAGGAUUUUAAAACAUAUUGAAUAAUCUUGCGUCACAGGGCCUGAUGACCAACAUGUUUAACUAAACUAGUUUCAUAGACUGUAGGAGAUAAGCAUUUUUUUUCAAAGUAUUCGAAACAGCAAGAAACUCCAAACACACCAGACAGACACCAAUUCUAGCAUUCCACCGCAGUAUAAGUCCCCAAAGACAGAGAGAGUGAAGAUGGUAGGAAGGGGGUAGAAGUUUCACUGGAUUGGCUACUAGCUGGCACCUGAAAGGUUUAAUUUUCCAAGGACUUUUUCUCCUCUCCUUUUUGUGUGGCCAGAGAGAGAGAGAGAGAGAUUUCAAAGGUUCUUGGCUAUAGUCAUUGCGUAAAAUUCCCAAGAGUGAAAAACAACUGAAAACAUGGCUGUAGCAUCCCAUUCUGCUAACUAUAGCAUGUUGGGCACUAUUACCUGAGCCACUUUCUUUGAGAGGGGGAACCUUGCAUCUGAAGACUUGUGUUUUUCCUGUUAGCAUCAUCUCUCCCCUAAAAGACACGAUUGGGUCUUUUCAUAUAUGAUUUCCCCACUCAGCUACCUGUUAAGGUGCUUACCAAAAAGCAAUAUAAUAAGCGGGUUGAAAAAAAUGACUCAAAAAACUAUGAAGCAAGUUAAAAAGUAUAUCUUAAAUAUGACACAAAUGAACUUAUCUAUGAAACAGAAAGACUCGCAGACAUAGAGAACAGACUUGUGGUUGCUGAGGGGGAGGGGGUGGGAAGGAUUGGGAGUUUGGGAUUAACAGAUACAAACUAUUGUACACAGAAUGGAUAAACAACAAGGUCCUAUAUAUAGGAUAGGGAACUAUAUUCAAUAUUCUCGAUAAGCCAUAAUGGAAAAGAAAAGACAUGUAUAAUCGAGUCACUUUGCUGUAUGGUAGAAAUUAACAUAACAUUGUAAAUCAACUAUACCUCAGCAAAAGUUUUAAAAAGUGUAUGAGGAAAAAAUAAUUUAAAUUUUUAACAUGCAUGUCUCCCUUUCCUCAUUGCCUCAUCAUGGCCAUCCUAAGAAAAAUCACCAUAGGCUAUGUUUUUGCCAUAUGCAAAAUAGUAGCUCUAGAUGAUAUCAUAUGAAUUGGACCGGGGAGGACUUGAUGGAAAAUUACAGAAAGAGGCUAUAUCUUGCCACUCAUCUGGGCUAGGACCACAGAAGGAAAACUUCCUUUCCAUUUUGAUUGUUUAAUAACAUGAAACAGAGGACUAGGCUGGUUCAAACCAAAGAAAACCUUAGGACACACCCACUUGGAGAGCCAACACGCUCUUCGUGCUCUGCUCACUCUUCAUUUAUUUAGGAAUACAAAAAGGCAUAUGGAUAUACUUCAAUGUCAAAAUGGUUGCUUGUGCUCUCAAAUUAGUUUUUAUUCUGCCUAUUUCUUUUUGGAAUACUCCCCACAUCUAUAAGCAAAGAGUUUUGAAUAGAAGGAGGAAAGGAGAGAAAGAAAAAGAAUAAAAAAAGAAAAGAGAGAGGAAGAGGAAGGAAAAUGACUAAUGUCCUAUUACUUCCGCCUGCAAACCUGACAGAAGUCGAUAGUAAAACCUCUAUGACUUCUAUCUAGUAGUCUUUGCUCUGUGCCAUUUGGAUAUAUGGUCUCUGAAGGAAAUGAGUCCUAGAUUUUUUUCUCACAAAUGCCCAAAUGCAGAACAGUAGGGAUCUUGACCACUACAUCACCCAGGACAAGAGGACCACAGCAGUGGAAUAGUUAGUACACUUGUGGGCUAAAUGUUUUAAUAAAAACAACCAUGAGGGAGUUCCCGUCCUGACUCAGUGGUUAACAAAUCUGACUCGCAUCCAUGAGGUCGUAGGUUUGAUCCUUGGCCUCCCUCAGAGGAUUAAGGAUCCGGUGUUGCCAUGAGCUGUGGUGUAGGUUGCAGAUGAGGCUUGGAUCCCACGUUGCUGUGGCUGUGGUGUAGGCCAGCAGCUGCAGCUCCAAUUCCACCCCUAGCCUGGGAACCUCCAAAAACAGCCUUGAGAUGCCAUGAAAGGCUUUUCCCUCUAACUACUGUGAAUAUAUUGUGGAAUGAUUCCUACUUCUGGAAGAGUAGGUGGUUUCCCCCUUCUUCUCUUGGCCUCGAAAACCUGGCUCUUCUAUGCACCUGCGAGGCAAUUAUACCCACCCAAAAUUUCAGGGCACUAUGUCAACCAGUUCCUUCCCAAUGGUGUGUUUGGCACCUGAACAAGGACUUGGUGGACCAGACACAUUUAAAAUGUGAGAGUGGGUUAUUAUAUUAUUUUGCACUGCAACAGUAAGAAUAUUUUGGGAUUGUUGCUGACAAGUAGAUCAUAAUAAUCAUAUGUGAUGCAACAAAUCACAUGACAUUGUAUCAGAAGCUCAGAGUUAAUAUUUUCAAAUGACCUAGAGAUUUUCUUUUUUUUCUGAAAAAGAGAAAUGGUGGAUGCUCCCCCCCCCACGCCCCCACCUUCAAUAAGCAUUUAUUGAAUGCCUAUUGUCAGUGAUGGAUUCUUUAUUCACAGAAGGGAGCUGGGCUAUGCCAGACUCUCACCAUGUUCUUUCUCCUCUAACACUGAAUAAAAUAUCAGUGAAAUACUAGUACAGCUUUUUUUGAAUCUGAUAGGCAAUCUGGAUGUAGUAACUGACCAUGAUGACGACAGCAGGAACUGGUGAUACUGGCAGCAGUGGGAAGGACUUCCUUACAAAGUCACUGCAGUUUAAGAACAUCUCUC
rnacentral:lncRNA from 1 species